GUGGGGGUGGAGAACCAGCCAGCGCUACCAACAAGCAGGACAUAGCUUCCAGCCCAGGAGGAGGUGGAUGCCAGGAGCUGGCCCUAGUGAUGUUUGCAUUUGAACAACAGUGAGAUUGGGUGUCAGCUGCCCCAGGGGCGCCGCCGAGGAAGAUGAAGAAAUGGAGCAGGCUGUCUCCAGGCAAAGGAGGAGAGAAGGGCAGAAUCCGGAUGGUAUGGAAUGAACAGCAAGGGAGGGAAGCGGAAAGGGGAACUGGGAUUUGCUACUGCUCUAUCAAAUUGCAGUGUGCAAAGCUAGCUCCAGGUGGUGGGCUCCUGAGUGUCACCGCCAGGGUACAAACCUCAGUUGUGCCCUCUACUUACUGUGUGACCAUGUGUGAAUGGGCAAACUCUCUGAACUUGAGUUUGCCUCUCAGCAAAACAGUACCUACUUCCUGGGACUGUCAGGGGCACUGAAUGAGAUGACAAGCGACCCUUAGCCCAGCACCUGGUACACAGCAAACACUCCAUCCAAUCCGGACACGAUUAUCAUUCUGCCAGAACUUCUGUGAAAUUUGGUUACAGUUACAGGUCUGCACCUCUGGGACCUACUUCAAGUCAUUUGUCUCCGGAAGAGAUGCCUCUUUGAGAGUCCUGAGCGUCCAGUGGGUUGAGACCAAACCCAGGGAAUUAUCGCUAAAGAAACCCAAGCCCUGCUUCGGAGACAUGUUGGCGGUAAACACUGACCGUAUGAUGUAACUAUUUCUUUUGUUUUAAGAGACACUCCUUUCCUACCACUGAGGCAUUGCUGUCAAUUUAACAAAGCCAAAAUUGAGUUCAUGGAGAGAAAAGGGCCUCUUCCACUUCAAGGACUACAACCUUUGAAAUGCAUUUAAAAGAGAGUAAAGUUUUUUUUAGAUGUGAAUAGCCAGAGACCCAGCGAGGUGUAGGAAAGGUGACCCUGCCAGAGGGCCUUCCCGAGACAAGGUUCACUCAGGUCAGCCGGCAGUCUGUCGCAGGUAAGAGGCAAGGGUCACCCUCUGCCCUCCUCCGCCCUGGCCCUGGCACCCUGGAGCCCUGACAGGUGACAACUUACUUGCAGGACUAAGCAGCCCCCUCCUCCGGCGAGGGAGUGAGGAGGGGUUGGAGAGGCCAGUCGGUAAGAAGCAAAAGAAGAAACCUUCCUUAAGAAAAUUACAAUCUCCACUUAGGGGCUAGGCUUGCCAUCCAGCCAGAGGGCUAACUUUUUUUUUUAAAGGAAUUUAUUGGGGCACCUGGGUGGCUC